AGUGAACGCUGGCGGUAGGCCUAACACAUGCAAGUCGAACGGCAGCACAGUAAGAGCUUGCUCUUACGGGUGGCGAGUGGCGGACGGGUGAGGAAUACAUCUGAAUCUACUUUUUCGUGGGGAUAACGUAGGGAAACUUACGCUAAUACCGCAUACGACCUACGGGUGAAAGCAGGGGAUCUUCGGACCUUGCGCGAUUGAAUGAGCCGAUGUCGGAUUAGCUAGUUGGCGGGGUAAAGGCCCACCAAGGCGACGAUCCGUAGCUGGUCUGAGAGGAUGAUCAGCCACACUGGAACUGAGACACGGUCCAGACUCCUACGGGAGGCAGCAGUGGGGAAUAUUGGACAAUGGGCGCAAGCCUGAUCCAGCCAUACCGCGUGGGUGAAGAAGGCCUUCGGGUUGUAAAGCCCUUUUGUUGGGAAAGAAAAGCAGCAGGUUAAUACCCCGCUGUUCUGACGGUACCCAAAGAAUAAGCACCGGCUAACUUCGUG
rnacentral:rRNA from 1 species